rnacentral:pre_miRNA from 1 species
UAAACACUCCGAAGCCACAGUGUUUGUAUUAUCAAUUGAACAAUGUGUCUCAGAGUGUAGU